CCGCACCUCUCACUGCAGCACGUGUGGGUGGUGUGGCUGCUGGAGGAAGACAGGGACAGCACGCGGCAGUUGGCAUGUGCUGAAAAUUUUGUGCCACCCAUUGACUAAAGCCACAGGACAGGAUAUCAACAUGACCUAGUAACCUCUAAGACAAGUGAGCCUGCUGCAAAUGUUUAACUCUGCCUGCGUGAGGGGAGCAAGAGCAGUGCAAACAUUAAAGUCCCCUGUGGUGAAAGAUCGAGGCCUGACAGACACGCCUGGCCAGUGUGUCUCGCGGAGUUUGCGGGAGGUGGCCGACAUCAUCGGUGGACAUUAACGCCACACUGUGCAGUAGUGACCUUGAACUGAUUAACAACUGGAUGCUAUUGAGCUGAGAGCCCAUUCUCACAAAACAGCCCCUGUGUUGUUUGAGUUUUCUCAAGCAAAUAAGGUCACUUUGAACUACUUCCAAAGCUUUUAUGUGCAAAAUAUCACUUUAUGCCAUAUGAUACGCUAGAGAGCAGUUUGUCUUUGUUGUUUAAAAAGGUACAGUGUGCAAGAUUUAAGGGAUUUAGUGGCAUCUAGCCGUGAGGAUUGCAGAUUGCAACCUGCUGCAACUUCCCACAAAUAGAAUUCCUACAGUUUUCAUUGAUAAGGGUUUUUUUUUUUACCAGGAGCUGAAUCAUCCCCAGACGUCUCCUCUCCAAAACAAACAGACCCGCUAAUUUAAACCAGUAACAACAGUGAAUAAAGCAGCUCAUUCCAAGGUAACAAUAACACAACGGUUGGUUAUACACUAAAGAAAACAUAUCUAUAAUAUUCCAUUUCUGCCAAUAUAUCCCCCUAAAUCUUACACACUGGACUUUUAAACAGAUGUUUAAGUAUGAUAAAAA